UACGGAGGGUGCGAGCGUUGUCCGGAAUCACUGGGCGUAAAGGGGCGCGUAGGCGGCUUCUCAAGCGUGUGGUGAAAGUCCGGGGCUCAACCCCGGAUCGGCCGUGCGGACUGGGGAGCUCGAGUUCUGUAGAGGCGGGUGGAAUUCCGGGUGUAGCGGUGGAAUGCGUAGAGAUCCGGAAGAACACCGGUGGCGAAGGCGGCCCGCUGGGCAGAGACUGACGCUGAGGCGCGACAGCGUGGGGAGCAAACGAGGA
rnacentral:rRNA from 1 species